GUUUCUCAGGAGAGGGCAGAAGGGCAAGUCACUCUGUGAUGGGCUAGUCACUAGGGGUCUAGAAAUGUUGAGUUGGGGUCUCUCCCCUCAGUGAAGGACAACUGUGGUCCCAGCACUGUCAGAUGAGAAAGUAGCCUGGCGGAAGGUGAGCCGCGCUCCUGAGGUCCAGACCUGAGAGGCUAGCCCUUCCCGACAGCCCUGACAUCUGCUGCGGAAUGGCGCGGACACCGGUAUUUCAUCUCUCAGUGAUGACAAAAGCACGGUUCUGCACUGAAUUUACUAGUAACAGUGGGAACUUCAAAUAGUCUGUCUUUGGAAGAAGCAUUUACCUUAACACUGUUCUGGCCGCUGUAGCACAACCCGGCAUAUCUACCUGGCAUGCGUGUAGUUUGGCAUGCAGGUCCACAGCCACGCAGCAAUGUUGGUGACAGUUCUCCACCAGCAGCCUGCGUGGUGACUCCUUCUGGCCCUGUGAAAGAGCCCGCCUGGAAGAUGUGAGCUCCCAGUUCAUUCCCACCGUAAUUUCCCCGUUUUCCGCACUCAGAGCAUGUGCCCACAGUGUCUUUAGCAAGAGCGCCUUCCCAUCUAAUUCUGACAUAAAACCCAAACAGCAGGAGCAAUAGUUUUUAUUGUUUGUGGGGCCCCGGGGCUCCCCCCUGCCAACAACUCUCGAGAGCCACUGCAACCAUUCAUAGAAAUCUUAUUGGAAUGCCUUGCUGGAUGGUUAAAGGUUGCGGUCUGCCGUAUCCUAGCAACCAUCUAGGACCAGCAAUAUGGAAACUCCCGCCCCUCCCAGCAGGCUUCCUGCUCUCCACCCACCCUUUUCAGGAGACUUGUCUCUGGACCUGGAGGACUGACCUCAUCUAAAAGCUGUCUGUAAACCGGAUGCCAGACUCAUCAUUAGCUUGACCCUUGGCACAGAUCCCUGCUGAGAAGACUCAUACUAGGAGCUCUGCUAUAGGACCCUGCUGCUGCAUACUAAGCCUUGUGAUAGGAGCGUGCCUAUCACACGUGAGGGUUUGUCCCCAGGCUCCCCAAUCCUAUAUAUGCCUUACACUCCGGAAUAAAGUUGAGCUGACUCUUUGAAA